UACGUAGGGUCCGAGCGUUAAUCGGAAUUACUGGGCGUAAAGCGUGCGCAGGCGGUUUUGUAAGCCAGAUGUGAAAUCCCCGGGCUUAACCCUGGGAACUGCAUUUGGGACUGCAAGGCUCGAGUACGGCAGAGGGAGGUGGAAUUCCACGUGUAGCAGUGAAAUGCGUAGAGAUGUGGAGGAACACCGAUGGCGAAGGCAGCCUCCUGGGCCAGUACUGACGCUCAUGCACGAAAGCGUGGGGAGCAAACGGG
rnacentral:rRNA from 1 species